rnacentral:tRNA from 1 species
CAAGGCACUGAAAAUGCCUAGAUGAGUAUACCAACUCCAUAAACA